CAACUUUUUUGUCCUUUCGCCUAUCGGCUGCCCGAAGGGCCGAUAUUGGCGAAAGAUCUGGCUGUCGAAUACAAAUAUUUGAGCAACACUUCGGAAUGGUUUUACAUUGCCCGCAAGAAUGCCGAACGCGUGAUUCGAAACCACAAUCAGUUUAGACGAGGCUACAACACUUACACAUACAACGACACAGCACACACAGAACGAGAGCCAGACGAAAUUCUGUCGGUCACAUAUGAAGACGGCAAGUGGUCGAAACCCUACUACGACUGCGGCGGUGGUAACAUCUGGAUGCUCACCUACACUGUACCGUUUUUCGGUUACAAUAAUGGCACCUACU
rnacentral:misc_RNA from 1 species